AUUGAACGCUGGCGGCAGGCCUAACACAUGCAAGUCGAACGAGUGGCGGACGGGUGAGUAAUGUCUGGGACACUGCCUGAUGGAGGGGGAUAACUACUGGAAACGGUAGCUAAUACCGCAUACCAUCAGAUGUGCCCCGAUGGGAGUAGCUUGUUGGUGGGGUAACGGCUCACAAAGACGACGAUCCCUAGCUGGUCUGCGAGGAGGACAAGCAACACUGGAAUGGAGAAACGGGCCAGACACCUACGGGAGGCAGCAGUGGGGAAUAUUGCACAAGGGGCGAAAGACUGAUGCAGCCAUGCCGCGUGUAUGAAGAAGGCCUGCGGGUUGUAAAGGACUUUCAGCGGGGAGGCGUGACCCGCAGAAGAAGCACCGGCUAACUCCGUGCCAGCAGCCGCGGUAAUUC
rnacentral:rRNA from 1 species